UUGAUGAGGUGUAAGUGCAUUCUGUGUUUUGGUCAUAGAGGUGACUAGUAGUCCAUUAA
rnacentral:tRNA from 1 species